CUGCAAUUGCGUACCUGGACACACUCCAUCCUUAGAUCGUUUGACUGGAACGCACCGACACCUGAUUGAUAAAUGUUAAAGAGUCCGGGAACAACGCCAUCUCUCAUGAAAUCCUGAUCAAGCAUAUUCCUUUCCAUAAGUGCCUGUACUGCAUUGAUGCUCUGUCGUCGGAUCUGUAAAGACAAUUGAUUCAUUUCCAUGGUUCUUAUCCAACUUUUGAACAUUCACUUUCAACUUUUUAAGCUAUUUGUUAUUUCUGUUGCCCAUUUUUCAAUUACAAAAAAACAGAUUUUCUGUUAACUUUUCUUUCAAUUGUCAUUUCUCUUUUCAAAUUUCCAACUUCACAUGCCAUCGGCACCACCGAGACCCCAUCAUCUUCCACUUAUUCGUGUCGCCGUCUUUCUUCUUCUUCUUCUUCCUCCGACCGCGAUGUUUAUUGUGCUGACGUGUAUACGUGAGUGUUAGGGAAAUAAAGAUAUCGAGAGCGAGUGGCGCGAGAGACACAGAGACCUUAUGUGUGUGAGUGUGUGUGUGUGUGUGUGUGUGUGUGUGUGUGUGUGUGUGUGUGUGUGUGUGUGUGUGUGUGUGUGUGUGUGUGUGUGUGUGUGUGUGUGUGUGUGUGUGUGUGUGUGUGUGUGUGUGUGUGUGUGUGUGUGUGUGUGUGUGUGUGUGUGUGUGUGUGUGUGUGUGUGUGUGUGUGUGUGUGUGUGUGGCAUUGCGGCGCCCGUAACCUUGGCAUAACGAUCACCCCUUCGGUGUGUCGCGCCUGCAGUUUUUGGGGUCAGUGUCCCUGUGUGUCUCGCAUCUCAAAGCUCUGCACACUAUUUUACAUUUGCCACCGGCGCAGCACAGGCAUAGUCUACCAAACAGUACACAGAAAAAGCAGGUGGUGAUGAAGAGGCCGAAAAGCACCGAGACCCCUCGGAGGAACGACAGGAAAACAACAAUGGACCCCCUUAUUAACAGAAAACUUAUUGGAAAUCUCUUUAAAAUUUCGAUAUUUACGAUUACAGAUCUUAUUGUUAGUCUGAAUCCAGUCUUAAAUCUUUCCUGGAGCCUAUUGUUCGUGUACAAAAUAAAACUUUGAUCCA
ensembl:antisense_RNA anr-20 ncRNA